CUAAGUCCAAUUCAUUUUGAUAUCCUAUAUCCUUUCUAGGAAAUUUGCACUCCAGGCUGGAAUUCUAGGCCCUCCAGGUUUGGGGGAAUGGGGCUGAGCUAACAUCCAACCUAAGGACAAGACCAUCCCAGCUGAUAUCAAAGCAGUUUGGAAAGCAUGUGAGAAAACUCCAGAUAGAACAAGGUCCAUCCUGGGCCUCAUUUUCUUCAUCUGUAAUGUGAGGAAGAAAGAAGAGAGAGGCUGAGGAUGAACCUCUCUGACUUCAUUGUUUCAUCCUGGGAAUGCUGAGUGACCAGUCCCCUUCAGCCACAAGCUAUAGUCAAAGUUCCUGAGAGAAGCAAAGUUGCUGCGAUGUGUGAUGUUACCCUCCUGUAAAUGACAGAAUCCUGUUCAGAGGCAGCACCCCGCAGGAGUUAGCACCGCGCAGACGUGAUGCAGCAUUAUAACGAUGCCCUACUUACCAGUUCCUGUUUUUUAUGACUGAAUGGAUGCUUGGACCUGCUUGGGGCUAUAUAAAGGGUUUUCCUGCCCUUGCCACACUCAGCCUGUCUUUGCCAAGACAAUUCCCAGGAGGGACUUAUACCUGUGAACAGGAACUGACAAAGAAGCAACUCAGCCCAAAAGUUUCCCAGGCUCCUGGGCUGUAGUAUGACCACCCUGUGACUCAUUUGGAUAAAGUAGGGCUCAACAGAUAUUUAUCAAAUGAACAAAUGAAUGAGAGGGUGGGUGAAUGAGUGUUUCCAUGAGUGGGCAGCCACUCCCUCCGGGAAUGAGAGUGCUUCCUACUCCAGAAUGUUGAGUGCUUUCGAAGGAAGUCCUCUGGGGCUUUCCUGAUGAGUGCUCCAUGAAGAAGCCACAGUUGUCUCCUCAAUUCAUUGUGGGGAGUCUUAGAUUUCUUUGGAACCCUAAAUGCUAAACUUCCUACUGGUAUAUAAUAGCUGCUCAAUAAAUGUGUGUUGAUGCAUUGUUUCUCCGGUGUGAGAAACUGAAAGUGGAAAUAAAGACUAAAAUAAAUAAAUAAAUACAUACAUACAUACAUAAAUAUGUGUUGAAUUGAAGGGGGAGCUAGAAAGAGAAAGAAGACUUAGAUUCUGCCUUCCAAAUGUUUACAGUGUAGUAGGAGUGAAAGGCAUAUGUAAGUGCUGUAUGACAAAGAAAAAUGGGUAACCUGAACAGAAAAGGGUCGAGGGGUGUAUGCUACAGGCAGUAGGGCUGGAAAAACUCACAAUGGGCCAAAAAGUCAGGGGAUGCUUCCCGAAAAAGUCAGAUGGAAUUGGGGAUGGCCAUGAAGGAUGAGAGGAUUUGGAGGCACAGAGGCAUGGGAAAAGGGAAAUGAGUGGCUCCCAGAAGGAAGGUCAGGUCAAGUUAUAUUGACUCAAGUAGAUUACACAUAGCCAGAGCAGAGUCAAGUAAAAGUGUGCCAUGCGCUGUAAGGCAGCACAGGGAGGAAAAAUAAUUUUCCCUUUCC